GUGCAUUUUUCAUAUUGAAUUUAGUUUUUCAAGAUAACUUAUUUUUCCAAAAAUAAAAAUUGAUUUAGUGCCUUUGGAUUUGCUGGGCACUAGUUCAGGUUCGUCUUUCGUUUUCAUCUGCAGGGUCCUCAAGGUUCAAGAGUUGCGAGAGGCCCCACUGGGAAACCCAGGCCAAAGGUAUCAUCUGCACUUUUUCUUUUCAGAUAUUGCUGUAGUUUCUUUUCCAGACAGAUGCUAUGAGAAGGAAUUCUAACUGAUUUUUCUUUUUUUUUCUUGGUGUCAGGGCACUUCAGGCUGUGAUGGCCCUGCUGGCCCUCCAGGUGAAAGAGGUCCUCAAGGACCACGGGGUCCAGCUGGAUUCCCUGGACCAAAAGUCAGAGCUUCUCUUUCUCUGUCUCUAUUUGACAUUUUCAGAGUUUUGAGAGUCACAGCUUACAUUUAAAAUAUUUGUUAGAUAUAAUAUUGAUAAAAUCUCUAUAAAAUUACAAUUGAUGUCAAAGGAAGUAGAUAUUUCAAUUUAUGAGGUUCGUAGAUUGUUUCUGAAUAUAAUUUCAACAUCUCUUAUUAAGUAUAUUUGAAAGUAUACCAAAGACUAGAAAAACAUGACUAUCACUCUCUCAGCUGCUCCUUUACUACAAUGAAUAUAAUUGACGACAUUAAAAAUUGUUAUCAGCCCUUAAAUAUUUGGUAUAUUAUAAUUUACCUUUAUUUUCCAUCAUUAAUAUAACCUUCAUCAAAUAUCACUUUCUAAAUCCCUCCAACAUUCUGGUAUCGCUUAAGUCAUGCUAAGAUUUAUUUAUAUUAAUAUUAUAUCUGUCUCUGUAAUUUAGAAAACAAUGAAAAUUCUCAUUAAAUCAUAUACCUUUUAUGGAAUGUAUUUAGAGCAACACUCUUGAAUGUUCAUCAAGCAUUCUCAUAAAGUUAAUUGAAAUACGUUGUUUUUAUAUUUAAGUAUUUGUGGGGACAUAGAACAUGCUGGGUUUUUGGCUUUGUUUGUUUCCUUGCAACCUUUGCAGUUUCUUUAAGAGAGCAGAAGUCAGUUUACCCACAUGUCUAGG
rnacentral:lncRNA from 1 species